rnacentral:misc_RNA from 1 species
GAUGAAGAACGUAGCGAAAUGCGAUACUUGGUGUGAAUUGCAGAAUCCCGUGAACCAUCGAGUCUUUGAACGCAAGUUGCGCCCGAAGCCAUUAGGCCGAGGGCACGCCUGCCUGGGCGUCACACGUCGUUGCCCCCCCAUCUACUCCUUCGGGAUUGCGGGGGGCGGAUGAUGGCCUCUCGUGCGCCUCGUCGCGCGGGUGGCCUAAAUGCCAAGUCCUCGGCGACGCACGCCACGACAAUCGGUGGUUGCGAAACCUCGGUUGCCUGUAGUGUGCGGUCGUCGCGCAUCGAGGGCUCGAAAAAAUUGCCGGGCUUCGGCUCGACUUUCAACGCGACCCCAGGUCAGGAGGGGUUACCCGCUGAAUUUAAGCAUAUCAAUAAGCGGAGGA